rnacentral:rRNA from 1 species
CAGGCCCUACGGGGCGCAGCAGUGGGGGAUAUUGCACAAUGGGGGAAACCCUGAUGCAGCGACGCCGCGUGGGUGAAGAAGCGCCUCGGCGCGUAAAGCCCUGUCAGCAGGGAAGAAAAUGACGGUACCUGAAGAAGAAGCCCCGGCUAACUACGUGCCAGCAGCCGCGGUAAUACGUAGGGGGCAAGCGUUAUCCGGAUUUACUGGGUGUAAAGGGGGCGCAGACGGCGAUGCAAGCCAGGAGUGAAAGGCCGGGGCCCAACCCCGGGACUGCUCUUGGAACUGCGUGUC